rnacentral:rRNA from 1 species
GAUCAUGGCUCAGGAUGAACGCUAGCUACAGGCUUAACACAUGCAAGUCGAGGGGCAGCAUUUCAGUUUGCUUGCAAACUGGAGAUGGCGACCGGCGCACGGGUGAGUAACACGUAUCCAACCUGCCGAUAACUCGGGGAUAGCCUUUCGAAAGAAAGAUUAAUACCCGAUGGUAUAAUUAGACCGCAUGGUCUUGUUAUUAAAGAAAUUUCGGUUAUCGAUGGGGAGUGCGUUCCAUUAGGCAG